CCUACGGGUGGCAGCAGUGAGGAAUAUUGGUCAAUGGGCGCGAGCCUGAACCAGCCAAGUAGCGUGAAGGUUGACUGCCCUACGGGUUGUAAACUUCUUUUAUAUGGGAAUAAAAUGUUCCACGUGUGGGAUUUUGUAUGUACCAUAUGAAUAAGGAUCGGCUAACUCCGUGCCAGAAGCCGCGGUAAUACGGAGGAUCCGAGCGUUAUCCGGUUUUAUUGGGUUUAAAGGGAGCGUAGGUGGAUUGUUAAGUCAGUGGUGAAAGUUUGCGGCUCAACCGUAAAAUUGCAGUUGAAACUGGCAGUCUUGAGUACAGUAGAGGUAGGCGGAAUUCGUGGUGUAGCGGUGAAAUGCUUAGAUAUCACGAAGAACUCCGAUUGCGAAGGCAGCUCACUGGACUGCAACUGACACUGAGGCUCGAAAGUGUGGGUAUCAAACAGGAUUAGAUACCCUUGUAGUC
rnacentral:rRNA from 1 species